UUGUUUGUUUUUUUGAGCGUUCGGUGGAUGCCUUGGCAUCAGGGGCCGAUGAAGGACGUGGUGGCCUGCGAUAAGCCUCGGGGAGCCGGCUGACGGGCUGUGAUCCGAGGGUGUCCGAAUGGGGGGACCCGGCACGAGUUAUGUCGUGUCACCUGCGCCUGAAUUUCAUAGGGUGUGGGGGGUGACGCGGGGAAGUGAAACAUCUUAGUACCCGUAGGAGAAGAUAUUCCGUGAGUAGUGGCGAGCGAAAGCGGAGGAUGGUUAAACCGUGGUGGUGUGAUCACCCGGCAGGGGUUGCCGCCGCGGGGUUGUGGGACGCGUGUCUCCAGUGCCUGCCGGUGCUGGGCGCAGUGAGAAACUGGUGUGGUAGCCGAACCCUCUGGGAUGGGGGGCCGUAGUGGGUGAGAGCCCCGUAGGUGAAACCGUGCCGGCUGUGUGCGCGUGCUCCCGAGUAGCACGGGGCCCGUGGAAUCCUGUGUGAAUCUGCCAAGACCACUUGGCUGCCUGAAUACCUCCUGGUGACCGAUAGCGGAUGAGUACCGUGAGGGAAUGGUGAAAAGUACCCCGGGAGGGGAGUGAAACAGUACCUGAAACCGGGCGCUUGCAAGCCGUCAGAGCCCUUGCUGGCCUCCCUUUGCCGGGGGGUGGGGGGUGAUGGCGUGCCUAUUGAAGAAUGAGCCUGCGAGUUAGUGCCGUGUCGCGAGGUUAACCCGCCUGGGGGAGCCGUAGCGAGAGCGAGUCCGAACAGGGCGUUUGUAGUGGCGCGGUCUAGACCCGAAGCGGGGUGAUCUACCCAUGGCCAGGUUGAGGCGCGUGUAAGAGCGUGUGGAGGACCGGACCCACCUAGGUUGAAAACUGGGGGGAUGAGCUGUGGGUAGGGGUGAAAGGCCAAUCAAACUCCGUGAUAGCUGGUUCUCCCCGAAAUGCAUUUAGGUGCAGCGUCCCGUGCUUCCCGCCGGAGGUAGAGCUACUGGGUGGCUGAUGGGCCCCACAGGGUUACUGACGUCAGCCAAACUCCGAAUGCCGGUCGGGUGGGAGCGGGGCAGUGAGACCGCGGGGGAUAAGCUCCGUGGUCGAGAGGGAAACAGCCCAGACCGUCGGCUAAGGCCCCUAAGCGUGUGCUAAGUGGGAAAGGAUGUGCGGCCGCGUGGACAACCAGGAGGUUGGCUUAGAAGCAGCCAUCCUUGAAAGAGUGCGUAAUAGCUCACUGGUCAAGUGGUCGUGCGCCGACAAUGUAGCGGGGCUCAAGCGCACCGCCGAAGCCGCGGGCCUGCCACACGGUCCCCACGACCGGCCCCCCUCCUUGGGGGUGGUUGUCAGGGGUGGUGGGUGGUAGGGGAGCGUCCUGCACCGGGUGAAGCCCCGGGGUGACCCAGGGGUGGACGGUGCGGGAGUGAGAAUGCAGGCAUGAGUAGCGAUACUAGGGUGGGAAGCCCUAGCGCCGAAUGACCAAGGGUUCCAGGGCCAGGCUAGUCCGCCCUGGGUGAGUCGGGACCUAAGGCGAGGCCGACAGGCGUAGUCGAUGGACGACGGGUUGAUAUUCCCGUACCGGCGAAGCACCGCCCAUGCUGACGCGCGGGUGCUGACCCACGCCCCGGGUCCCACGUUAUUGCUGCCACCGGGUCCGGCCUCGGCCGGCUGGUGGUGGUGGUGGGCCGGGGUCUGGGGACCCUCCGUGCAGGUAGGCAAGCGUGUUAACAGGGGUGACGCACAGUGGUAGCCUCCGCGGGCCUGAUGGCUUGGCCCGUCCAAGCGCGCGGCCCGCCGCCCAGGCAAAUCCGGGCGGCUGUCUUUGAUGACGAGGGUGAGGCGUGAUGGUGACCGGCACGGUUGUGCUGGGAAGCAGGGUGAUCCUGGGGUGCCGAGAAAAGCCUCGACGCGAUGGUGCCAGCCGCCCGUACCCUAAACCGACACAGGUGGUCGGGCAGAGCAUGCCUAGGCGCACGAGAGAAUCAUGGUGAAGGAACUCGGCAAAAUGCCCCCGUAACUUCGGGAGAAGGGGGGCCCGAGCCCUGAGGCCCCGCAGCGGGCUGGGGGUGAGGGCCGCAGAGACCAGGGGGGAGCGACUGUUUAUCAAAAACACAGGUCCGUGCGAAGCCGCAAGGCGAUGUAUACGGACUGACGCCUGCCCGGUGCUGGAAGGUCAAGAGGAGCCGUCAACCCCCAGGGGUGAAGCGGCGAGUUCAAGCCCCAGUAAACGGCGGUGGUAACUAUAACCAUCCUAAGGUAGCGAAAUUCCUUGUCGGGUAAGUUCCGACCUGCACGAAUGGCGUAACGACUUCCCCGCUGUCUCCACCAUGAGCUCGGCGAAAUUGCACUACGAGUAAAGAUGCUCGUUACGCGCAGAAGGACGGAAAGACCCCGGGACCUUUACUACAGCUUGGUAUUGGCGCCCGCCACGGCUUGUGCAGGAUAGGUGGGAGACCGCGAGACGGCCGCGCCAGCGGUCGUGGAGUCGUCGUUGAGAUACCACUCUGGCCGUGGCGUGCGCCUGAACCUCGGCCCGUGAGCCGGGCCAGGGACAGUGCCUGGUGGGUAGUUUAACUGGGGCGGUUGCCUCCUAAAGAGUAACGGAGGCGCUCAAAGGUCCCCUCAGCCUGGUCGGCAACCAGGUGUCGAGUGCAAGUGCACAAGGGGGCUUGACUGCGAGACCGACAGGUCGGGCAGGUGCGAAAGCAGGAACUAGUGAUCCGGCGAUCCCGAGUGGGUGGGUCGUCGCUCAACGGAUAAAAGGUACCCCGGGGAUAACAGGCUGAUCCUGCCCAAGAGUCCAUAUCGACGGCAUGGUUUGGCACCUCGAUGUCGGCUCGUCGCAUCCUGGGGCUGGAGCAGGUCCCAAGGGUUGGGCUGUUCGCCCAUUAAAGCGGUACGCGAGCUGGGUUCAGAACGUCGUGAGACAGUUCGGUCCCUAUCCUCUGCGCGCGCAGGAUACUUGAGAGGACCUGUCCCCAGUACGAGAGGACCGGGACGGACGAACCUCUGGUGUGCCAGUUGUCCCGCCCGGGGCACGGCUGGUUGGCCACGUUCGGCACGGGUAACCGCUGAAAGCAUCUAAGCGGGAAACCACCCUCAAGACAAGGUAUCCACAACCACCCCCCCCGGGGGUGGUUGGAAGGCCCCCAGCAGACCACUGGGUCGAUAGGCCGGACGUGGAAGGCCCGCAAGGACCUGCAAGCCGACCGGUACUAACAGGCCGACACAAACAACA
rnacentral:rRNA from 1 species